GUCUCUGCGUCCCCUCGCCGCCCCCAGCUGCCCCCUCCCCACCCCACCCCCCCCGUACCUGUGGGGCCGGGCGGGGGGCCGGGGGGCUCUGGAGCCGGCGGCCGUUGGCGUGGGGAAGGAGCGAGCGCGCCCGAGGGCAGGAAGCGGGGAGCCGUGUCGGAGGAGGGCAGGAAGCGCCCCGCCCGGCUGGGGCGGGGCCGGUCCCCGGGCAGCCCCGCCGGGGGCAGCAGCGGCUUCGGGGCUCCCCACGAGUCCUGGGAGACGCCGGUGGUCUCCAGGCCCCCCCAGAGGCCCUCGGAGACGCCGUUGGUUCGGGGGCAGCGGGGAGGACUUCUCCAGAAGUCCUGGGCCAUCCUGGUGGUUUCAAGGCUCCCCGUAGGUCCUAGGCCCUCCUGGCGGUUUCAGGGCUCUCCGUGAGUCCUGGGAGGUCCUGGUGGUUUCGAGGCUCCCCCUAGGUCCUAGGCCCUCCUGGCGGUUUCAGGGCUCUCCGUGAGUCCUGGGAGGUCCUGGUGGUUUCUAGGUUCCCCAUAGGUCCUCAGACUUGUUAGCAGUUUCAAGAUCCUCCCCCCCAUAAAUCCUGGGAAGUCCCAAUUGUUUUGGUUUCCCCCAUUCAAAGAAGGUGCCGGCGGUUUCGGGGACCGCCACAAGUCCUGGGAGACACUGGUGGUUUCAGGGAUCCCCGUUGGUCUGAGAACCUUCUGGUGGUUUCGAGGCUCCCCACAGAUUUCCAGAGGUGCCGGUGGUGUCGAGCUGUCCGGGCCGUGAGGGCGCUAAGGGGCUGUUGAGGCUCGUGACCAGCCCCACCUGGGACCCCCCAGGUCUCCAACAUGUCCAUGUCCACAUCCGUGUCCGUGCCUGGCCUGAAGUCCUGGGAGGUCCCGGAGGUUUCGGGCCCCCCGCUAAAGUCCAGGGAGAUGCUGGCGGUUUCGGGGUUCCCCAAAAGUCCUGGGAGAUCUCAGAGAUUUCAGGCCCCCACUAAAGUCCAGGGAGAUGCUGGCGGUUUCGGGGCGCCCCAGAGGUCUUGGGAGAUGCUGGCGGUUUCGGGGCUCCGCAAAGGUCCUGGGAGGCCCCGGCGGUUUCGGGGUGCCCCGUGGGGCAGGCAGCAGCGGGUCGGGGGUGGCGGUUUCGGGGCGCCCCGCGGUGCCCGGCUGGCAGUUUCGGGGCGCCACGCUACCCGCCGCGGCCCAGCCCGCCGCGGCGGAAGAAGUCGUCGAUGUCCUGGAGGGUGACGUGGGGCUGGGGGGGCCCCUCGGCGCCCCCCGGGGCCCCGGGCUCCUCCUCGCCCCAUGGCGGGGGGGCGGCGCGGGCGACCCACAGGUCGGGGGGGGCCGGGGGGCGGCCGCGCCGCAGCAGCCGCUGGCACAGCAGCCCCCCCGCCACCACGAAGGCCCCCCCCAGGGCCCCCAGCCCCACCAUGGCCCCCAGGCAGCGCCCGCAGGGGGGCGGCCGCCCCCAGGGCGACGCCGUGGGGCGCCCCACGGCCGCUGGG
rnacentral:lncRNA from 1 species